ACGCUCACUCUCCAACUAUGGGCAUGCCAACGAAUUUUAGGUAGUUAGGGUGUAGUUUCAAGUUGCAAUUCCUUAGGAAUUAACUGUUGGCCAGUAUUUAUCCUGCAUUCACUUCUAAGAUUGUCUCAAGAUAAUUUUCUAUCUUAGAAUUGCUAAUGACAUUUAUGCUGUCUUAUCAGCCAUCCUGACUGCAAGCUGGUUGUUACUCAUGAUGACUAUAGCUUCUAUGUCUAUUAGCACUCCCGAUGCCCCCGAACUUGACAAUGCGAGCCCUUAGGGUGCAUCAAAAUGCGAAAUGCCUGCUUGACUAGGGGGAACAAAUUAAAGAGCUCGACAUCUCUGAAACCAAGCCCACCCCCCCCCCCCCCCCCCCCCAAAAAAUUCUGGUUUGAUUAUAGCAUUCCAGGCCACCUAGCCCGUUCUCCUCUUCCCUUUACUUUCCCACCAGAAACGACGGAGCUGACAUUGAUAUGUUCACAUAGCCCCAUGGUAGCUUGAAAUAGGACAUUGAAUAGGUCAUCACAGAUUAUAUGUGAGUGGUUUGAAUGUUAACACUUAACCGGGUUGUGUGGUUUGGAUUUUGCUUCAAUCCUUAUUUAGUCUGGUGGAAAUGGUUGCUCUAGCUAUUAGUUCAAUUUGGUUUGGUUUUAGAAGCAAAUAAAUUGGCUUGAUUUGGUUUGGUUGUUCCUACGUUGAAAUUGAGCAAACCCAUGGCGGAGGAUAACGCGCGUGCUGGGCACCAUUGGUCUGCUACUGUCCGUUUUUUUUUUUUUUGAAGCAAGACUGUGGGGGAGAUCCCCACAGCAGAAAAACUCAUUUUAUAUAAACAAAGGGAACAAGGUUCUUACACAGGAGAGUUAACUGAAAGCAUCUAACCAAAAGCAAAAGGCCGAUCGAAGAUCUGCCUUGAAUCUAACAACUGUAAGUGGCAUUGGGACAAAAAAUUUUGGAACCAUCUUUCUUGGCUUUGUUCUCGUCUAUCGAAGAUCUUGUCAUUUCUCAUUUUCCAAAGCUCCCAGGCAGCAAUCAUCGAGGCCUCCAUGAAGAACUGCAUGUUGUGGGUAUUUCUGGCUUGAACAAUUCUAUCGCCUAGGUUCAGUGUGUUGUCCCAGGUGAAGCCAAGUCUGUUCCAACACUGAGUUGCAAAUGGGCAGGUGAAGAAGAGAUGGUCGAUUGUUUCCUCUUCAUCUGAGUCACAAAGCACACAGAGGUUGUCCUCAUGCACAUGAAUAUGCCUUCUUGUGAGCAUUGUUUUCGUAUUCAGUCUGUCCACUAGCAAGAGCCAAAUGAAGAACUUUAUUCUUGCGGUGCAGGAUGAUUUCCAGAUGAUCUUGUAGAUUGGAUCUGCUUCAAUGACUUGGUAGGCAUGGGUAUAAAAUUUCUUGGAGGUGUAAUCGCCUCCCCAGAUUGUAUGCCAGGUGUCUAUCGCAUCUGCAUCAAAAGGGAUGCUUCCAACUGCCAGCUCAAGUUGCAUUAGUUCCUCUAGGGCUUCCUCAGAUAAAGGUAAAAUGAAUAUUGAGUCUAGGUCCCCAGCAUCAACAACAUCUCAUACUGAGAAAGUCUCCAACUUAGAGAAGGAAGCGAUUCUGGGGAACAUAGUAGCAAGUGUUUCCCCAGCCCAUUGAUCCUCCCAGAAAUAGAUCGAAGUGCCAUUGCCAACCUUGCAGCGAGCAAUAGCACGAUAUAAGCCAUGUAGGCGAAGGAUGUCCUUCCACCAGAAGGAGCCCAUUUCUCUUGCUGCAUGCGGGACUUUAUUUUGAAAGUACUUGAACCAGAUGAGCUGCACCCAGGGAAUUUCCAUUCGGUUGUAGAAUUUGUGUAGCUGUUUCAUGAGAAGCACAUCAUUUUGCAGACGGAGAUUGAUCACCCCAAGGCCUCCUUUAUCCUUCGGCAUUUGCAUUGUUUCCCAGGCGACAAGGUUCCCACCUUUCUUCUUUUCUGAAUUCCCUCUCCAGAGACACUGCUUUCGGAUCCUGUCAAUGUUUUCAAUGGCGCCUCAUGGUAGUUUGAUUGUACACAUUAGGUACGUGACUAUUGGAGUGAUGGCCGUGUUGAUCAUUUGUAGUCUCCCCGAGCAGGAAAGCCAGGUUGCGCAGCCAGACAGCCUACGCUCCACUCUGUCCAUGAUGGGUGUGAGGUCUUCCAUUUUGGGUUUUGUGGUGCCCAUUGGUAAACCAAGGUAUGUGAAGGGUAAUGUGCCUACUGAACAUCCAAAAGUUUGGGCAAGAUGGUUCAUCUUUUCAGCUGAGGUGUUGAUUGGCAACAUUUGUGAUUUUCUAUAGUUGACUUUUAGGCCCGUAGAGUCUGCAAAGGAAUUGUGGACAGAUUUGAGAAAGAAGAGUUGCUUUUGCAUCUGCCUGCAUAAUUAGCAAAGUGUCAUCUGCGUAUUGUACAAUUGGGUAAUCUUCUGUGGGCUGAGGGAUCGAGGCCGUCAGAAGGCCCAUGGAAGCUGCUUUGUUGAUUAUAAUUUGUAGGAGAUCUGCUGCUAGCACAAAUAGGAGGGGUGAUAAUGGGUCACCCUGUCUCACCCCUCUCUUGCAUUGGAAGAAUUUCCCUGGGACACUGAUCAUGAAGACUGCAGAGGACCCACUGGUUAACAUGGCCGAGAUCCAAUCUAGCCACUCUGGUGGGAAACCCAUAUGUUCAGGAUUGUCCAUGUUUAAUUGUGUCAAAAGCUUUCUCAAAGUCUAACUUCAGAAUUAUGGCUUCCUUUUUGAAAUGAUGGCAUUGAUGAAUAUAUUCAAAACACCAAGCAAGGCAAUCAUGUAUGCUUUUGGAUUUGAUGAAACCAUAUUGGUUCUGGUGGAUCAAGCUGAUGGCGAUCCGCAAAAAAUGGCGAACGACGAAACCAUGAGGGGGUUCAAAUGGAGACAAAAACGGCGAUGGUUGAAACUGCAAGGGAGCCGCUGCAGCACCUAACACAACCGGAUCGAAGAGAAAUGUCACCGCCGCCGCUGUCACGUCGUGCCCGACCAAAUGACAAAAUCAAUCAGAGAAGGAGCCGCCGGCUAUUGGACUUGAGUCGAUCCAUGAAAAAGCGGUGAAGAAACAGGAGGGGCAAUGGACAGAGGGGAGGAAGCCAUGUGGGGGUGACUGGCGUCUGUUGCGCCUGCGACCUGGGCACCGAGUUUGGUCUUGGACCGGGCCUCAUUAGGGUACGAAUAGGGCCGGGCCCAAACAAUACCCACUUGGAAAAAAAUUAAAUUAAAUGUUAGGUGCUUUAAUAUUUGUGCAAAUUUUAUGAAAGGGACCACCGGAGCAAAACUCUUUUGAGAAACUGCUGACUUUUUGGUUUGAAAUUGCAGGAAGGUUGGUUUGAUCCGGUUGCGACCUGCAGUGGCGUGAUUUGAAGUGGUUUGAUUUGACGUGUUUAAGGAAAAGGAGUACCUAAACAUCACUCGAAGAGCAAGAAUGCUACAUGCGGGCCGAUAGCGACGGCCACUACUGAUGAUUUUCGCCAGCAGCCAUCGACCUGGCCGAGAGCACAUGUUGGCCCACAACUACGACAUGUGUGGAUGUGGAAAUGUUUCUUUACUGAACCUGUUCAACUAGCUAGACACUUUUUGUGCGGAUGAGAUUUUUUUUUUAGUUGGAUUAGAAAAGUUAGAAUGUUUUGUAUUUUUCAUUGAUCCGUGGGUGGUUAUUCAAAUCACUUAUAUUUUUCUUUGUUGGAUCCAAAAAUUCAAAUUGUUUUUAUGAAAUUCAUAUAUUUUGUUCUAAGUCUAAGAUAACCUUUAAUUUAUUUUGGUUGUGUUUAUUUGUUGUAUUUUUUAUGCAGGGUGUAAUUUUUUUUACUCUGAUGAAAUUAGUGGAAGAGUCUGUAUUGUUUUGUAAAACAAAAGUAUAUGUGAGGUGAAAUGCAACGGCAAGAUUUUACUGUC